GCCUGACUGUAAACUACUAGCCAAAAAAGUACAAGCCCACGCUUCAAACUUUAAGGACCUGGCGGUACUCUAUAUCAACCUAGAGGGGCCUGCCCAAUAACCGAUAAUCCACGAAAAACCUCACCACUUCUCGCCCUCAGCCUAUAUACCGCCGUCUCCAGCACAUUUCACAAAAAAUGAAGCCCAACAGUACCCACACUAACACGUCAGGUCAAGGUGUAGCCCAUGAAAUGGGAUGAGCGUGGGCCACACUGUAAUAACACACAGAAACCCCUCUGAAACAAGGGGUGGAAGACGAAUUUAGCAGUAAGCGGAAUCGAAUACCCCACUGAACUAAAAUACGCCCUAGAGUACGC
rnacentral:rRNA from 1 species